ACUGGACAGUGUGAUAAAUCUGAACCAAAACCACAAAUGCCCAGUUAGAAUAGUAUAAAAGGAGCUGACGACUCCAAGCAAGUCGUUGAUCCGUCCACCGACCAGUCGACCAGUCGAUCUGCUGAUCUGACUACCGACCGAGACAUCUGCACACCUGAUCCCGCUGGAAGGAGCAUCGCCGCCGACCAGACGAGACCAGAGGACGAGGAAAGCGGAGAGGCGGACAGCCUAGCGCCGACUCGACGCCCUUCGUCUACGGAUCGGACCCUCUGACCCCACGGGAGGAAACAUCGCGCUCCCACAAGGACUUGCGCAGUACAGUGCCCCAGGAAGACAUGCUUCCACACCAGUGACUUGAAACCUGAAAAAGACAGUCCCAGCCAUCAAGACGUCCAACACAGGAGAGGAUGUGGACAAAUUUUGAAGAUUGCUCCCAACAUGAUGCCACCAUCCUGAGACCACACCAGAACCCACUAGAAACCAGGGCAUCAUCAUGCUCUUGGGCAUCCAGAGAAGUGAGCUAAAUAGAUCUCUUUUUUCUUUACCUGGUAUUUUCUUUUUCCCUGGUAUUUUGUUGUAGCAAUGGAAA